UCCUACGGGAGGCAGCAGUGAGGAAUAUUGGUCAAUGGACGCAAGUCUGAACCAGCCAUGCCGCGUGCAGGAUGACGGCCCUAUGGGUUGUAAACUGCUUUUGUUUGGGAAGAAACUCUUGUACGAGUACGGGAUUGACGGUACCAGGCGAAUAAGCAUCGGCUAACUCCGUGCCAGCAGCCGCGGUAAUACGGAGGAUGCAAGCGUUAUCCGGAUUUAUUGGGUUUAAAGGGUGCGUAGGCGGAAUAAUAAGUCAGUGGUGAAAUACCCCGGCUCAACCGGGGAACUGCCAUUGAUACUGUUAAUCUAGAGUAUAUUUGAUGUGGGCGGAAUGUAGCAUGUAGCGGUGAAAUGCUUAGAUAUGCUACAGAACACCGAUUGCGAAGGCAGCUCACUAAACUAUAACUGACGCUGAGGCACGAAAGCGUGGGGAGCAAACAGGAUUAGAUACCCUGGUAGUCCACGCUGUAAACUAUGAUCACUCGUUGUUGGCGAUAUACAGUCAGCGACUGAGCGAAAG
rnacentral:rRNA from 1 species